rnacentral:rRNA from 1 species
CUGUUACUGACGCUGAGGCUCGAAAGCGUGGGGAGCAAACAGGAUUAGAUACCUGGUAGUCCACGCCGUAAACGAUGAGUGCUAAGUGUUAGGGGGUUCCGCCCUUUAGUGCUGCAGCUAACGCAUUAAGCACUCCGCUGGGGAGUACGACCGCAAGGUUGAAACUCAAAGGAAUUGACGGGGGCCCGCACAAGCGGUGGAGCAUGUGGUUUAAUUCGAAGCAACGCGAAGAACCUUACCAGGUCUUGACAUCCUUUGACAACUCUAGAGAUAGAGCUUUCCCUUCGGGGACAAAGUGACAGGUGGUGCAUGGUUGUCGUCAGCUCGUGUCGUGAGAUGUUGGGUUAAGUCCCGCAACGAGCGCAACCCUUAUUGUUAGUUGCCAUCAUUCAGUUGGGCACUCUAGCGAAACUGCCGGUGACAAACCGGAGGAAGGUGGGGAUGACGUCAAAUCAUCAUGCCCCUUAUGACCUGGGCUACACACGUGCUACAAUGGACAGUACAAUGAGCAGCGACACGGCGACGUGAAGCGAAUCUCAUAAAGCUGUUCUCAGUUCGGAUUGUAGGCUGCAACUCGCCUACAUGAAGCCGGAAUCGCUAGUAAUCGCGGAUCAGCACGCCGCGGUGAAUACGUUCCCGGGCCUUGUACACACCGCCCGUCACACCACGAAAGUUUGUAACACCCAAAGUCGGUGAGGUAACCUUCGGGAGCCAGCCGCCUAAGGUGGGAUAGAUGAUUGGGGUGAAGUCGUAACAAGGUAACCA